rnacentral:rRNA from 1 species
AUAAUGGGUCAGCGACUUAUAUUCUGUAGCAAGGUUAACCGAAUAGGGGAGCCGAAGGGAAACCGAGUCUUAACUGGGCGUUAAGUUGCAGGGUAUAGACCCGAAACCCGGUGAUCUAGCCAUGGGCAGGUUGAAGGUUGGGUAACACUAACUGGAGGACCGAACCGACUAAUGUUGAAAAAUUAGCGGAUGACUUGUGGCUGGGGGUGAAAGGCCAAUCAAACCGGGAGAUAGCUGGUUCUCCCCGAAAGCUAUUUAGGUAGCGCCUCGUGAAUUCAUCUCCGGGGGUAGAGCACUGUUUCGGCAAGGGGGUCAUCCCGACUUACCAACCCGAUGCAAACUGCGAAUACCGGAGAAUGUUAUCACGGGAGACACACGGCGGGUGCUAACGUCCGUCGUGAAGAGGGAAACAACCCAGACCGCCAGCUAAGGUCCCAAAGUCAUGGUUAAGUGGGAAACGAUGUGGGAAGGCCCAGACAGCCAGGAUGUUGGCUUAGAAGCAGCCAUCAUUUAAAGAAAGCGUAAUAGCUCACUGGUCGAGUCGGCCUGCGCGGAAGAUGUAACGGGGCUAAACCAUGCACCGAAGCUGCGGCAGCGACGCUGAUGCGUUGUUGGGUAGGGGAGCGUUCUGUAAGCCUGUGAAGGUGUACUGUGAGGUAUGCUGGAGGUAUCAGAAGUGCGAAUGCUGACAUAAGUAACGAUAAAGCGGGUGAAAAGCCCGCUCGCCGGAAGACCAAGGGUUCCUGUCCAACGUUAAUCGGGGCAGGGUGAGUCGACCCCUAAGGCGAGGCCGAAAGGCGUAGUCGAUGGGAAACAGGUUAAUAUUCCUGUACUUGGUGUUACUGCGAAGGGGGGACGGAGAAGGCUAUGUUGGCCGGGCGACGGUUGUCCCGGUUUAAGCGUGUAGGCUGGUUUUCCAGGCAAAUCCGGAAAAUCAAGGCUGAGGCGUGAUGACGAGGCACUACGGUGCUGAAGCAACAAAUGCCCUGCUUCCAGGAAAAGCCUCUAAGCAUCAGGUAACAUCAAAUCGUACCCCAAACCGACACAGGUGGUCAGGUAGAGAAUACCAAGGCGCUUGAGAGAACUCGGGUGAAGGAACUAGGCAAAAUGGUGCCGUAACUUCGGGAGAAGGCACGCUGAUAUGUAGGUGAAGUCCCUCGCGGAUGGAGCUGAAAUCAGUCGAAGAUACCAGCUGGCUGCAACUGUUUAUUAAAAACACAGCACUGUGCAAACACGAAAGUGGACGUAUACGGUGUGACGCCUGCCCGGUGC